UUUGAACUUUAUAACCUUCUAUCUCUCUCUGUAGGCUACUCCAUUUUUCCUUCUCUUUUUUCUAUAACAAAGCCCAAUACUAUGGUCUUUUAUCUUUCAUUACGUUUUAAUUAGGAGUCUUUGACCAACUGACCCUUAAUGAACACUUAAAAGCCACUAAUCAGCUGGAGUGUGUGUACUUUAUCAGGUCGAAAAGGAGAGUGUGCAAACUCAAAUGUGUGUCCUUAUCUAAUUGCCUGUUUCAUUUGUGUGUGUGUGUGUGUGUGUGUGUGUGUAUUAUUUUUUUUUUGCACAGAUGCUAUUUAAGCCUUUCCCAAUACACGGUCACAAAGCCAGUGGUUUCUAUGCCAGUGGAGAACUGCUGAUCUAAAUUUACUCUCAGGAAGCAAUUAGAACUGGAGGUGAACUGUUUUGUCUCCAAGCUGCAGCAAUCAGCUCUUAAAUAUCUGAACAGCUUAGUGUACACACAGCUUGUCAUUGAUUGGUACAACACAAUUUCAGACAGAUUUAGAAAUUGUUGGCAUAAAUUAGAUUAAUGUAGCCUGUUAUCUUGAGAGAAGCUGUUAGUUUAGCUUUAAUUAAUCUCGAGUCCUGCUUUUCAGUCCUCUCUGCACUGAUUGGUGUAUAGAAAUAGUUCUGUCUCCCAUUUUCCACAUAGGCUUUUGUCAUAAUUGAUUUUUAAGCCACUGUUAAAAUAAGCAAAAACACUUUGAUAAUAAAUGGAAUCCUUUCCUCAGUACAUUAAAUGCCUUCUAUUUUAAGAUUAACGCCAUUCCUGACUUGUAUACUGUACGUGCACUGAAUAUGGGACCACACCUGACUGGAUUAACAGCCACCUGUUUUUAAUUUCAUAUUAACUUUGGCAAUAUUGGAGCAUUAUUCUCUGAGGGGAGGGUUCAUUGUGGUUAAUGUAUGAGUAUUUGUCAUUCUUCACUGUUACAUUUGGAAACUAAAAGGCCUCUCUCAAAACUAAUGACAUUCCCAUCAGACUCAACUGUACUUUGUGUUUAGUGUUAAUUGGCAAAUGCUAGCAUGCUAACACACUAAACUAAGAUGGUCUUAGUAAACAUUGUUCCUGCUAAACAUAAGAAUGUUAGCAUUGUCAUUGUGAGCAUGUUAGCAUGUUAAUGUUAGCAUUUAGCUCAAAGCACCACUGUGCCUAAGUACAGCCUCCCAGAGCCGCUAGCAUGACUGUAGACUGUUAUUUAUGUGUUUUUAAUCUGUGACAGAUCAAAGUGUACAGUUACAACCUUCUAAGUGUUCAUAGAUUGCUGUGCAGUGCUGUGCCCCAUGUUAUCGCUUCUGGGCUGAGGCGAAACCUAGAAUAAGACAACUUUAUGUGUGCUGUAACUUGCUAAAUGCGGUGUGUGUGCUUUUUAAUUUGCAGAGAAAGACUGAUUGAAGUUUGUGUUGUUAUAAAUACAGUAUAAAUACUGUGUAUUAGAGCUAGAAUCAGUUAAAACUUUCGUGCAACAAUGUUGAUAUUGUUAUUAUAACUGGUCCAUAAAACCUGGUCUCAGGUGGUAGACCACAGCCCAAAAGAUUGGAAUAAGAAUUUGAUAUUUGUUCUGUUAAUGGAUCAACUUGUGAAGCACUGUGUAGAUUUACAUAAUCAGAAUAUUUCCUGAAUGUUACCUGUCUGUCACAAAUCAUACAUCUAAUGUUGAUGUAUCAAGUUCAAUUUCCCUAAAUGAAUAUCUAACCAUUAAUACUAUAUCUAACCCACUUUGGCUCAUAACAAGGUACAGUGAUCCUGUGAUAACCCGAAACUCAAGAACCAAGCAUGCCCUCUGUGUGUAGUUUUCUUCUGUAGGUAUUGUCUUUUAUUGGUGAUGUAUUUCUGUCCCAGUGCUUUGUUUUAGCUUCUGUUUUUUUGUAUGCCAAUAAUUAUUCAAACAAGGAUAAAGUCAUAGAUCGGAAACCAUUACAUUAAGUAAUACGUGAUCAGUCGAAAAGUUCUUUUAGGAAAAACCAACAACAAAUAUAUAAAAAAUAAAACAAACGUUGCUCUACUUUGUUCAUAGAAAUGCUUCUACCUUUUAUUGCUACUGUAGGUUGAAAAAAAGGCAAGAAGAUGAAGAGAAGUAGUAGAAGUACAGGAAACUAUCAAUUCACAGAAUGAGCUGAUCAUGGUUGGCAGUGUUCCUAUUUCUAUUCUACCAUGCUUUAAACAAAAGGAAAUGAUUGAAAAACUAUUUUACAUAUAUAAAAGUACAUGAUAUGAACUUUCACCACCUCCACCUUUAACUUUUUCUUUGAUUUUCAGAAAUCACCAUCAACAAAAUCAAAAUGCCCCUCCACUGCCCUUUCUUGAAAUCUGAGGUGUUUCUCCCCCUUGGAAAUAUAUCUGGAUAUCAUCACAAAAACACACAGUGGCAGCAGGGAACAGUGACACUUUUUUCUUCCUUGCGGAAGAGUCAAAACCACUGGCCCAAAUAUUUCAACACGGGGGAGAACAAAACAGGAUAUAAAUAAAAAGCAACUUCAGCCUGUUACUUGGUUUUGUCUUUUAUUUCCAAUUUACAUUAAUUAAAACGUAACAAAAACAAGUCAUGACCAUAAUAAUAAUAUAAUAAUGCUAUUAUUAUUAAUAAUAAUACUAUUAUUAAUAAUAAAAAAUAUACACAACCUCACACAAAUGAGCCCUCUGCGCUGGCUGUAGAACUGGAGCAACAAAGUCAAACACACCCUGAAUCUCUUCAACUGUGUGUGUAUGUGUGUGUGAGAGAGUGUGUACACCGGGGCAGAGGGCACACCCUGUAUGAGGGGUCUGAUGGUGGGAAGUAGAGAGGGGUGGGGGUCAAAGGUCACAGCAAAUGGAGGGGGGGGGGCAGCAGACUGGGCUUUCAUGACCAAGCUUCUAUUGGUCAUAUUAAUAUUAAAAUACAG